UGCUGCUUUGCAAACAAUAGGUCUAGAGUCUUCUUGACACAGUAUUUCCAUACAAUAGUUCUGCCACUUGAAGAAAUGACCUCCAGUGUGUUCUUCCCAGCUGUUGUAUCCAAGCUUAUCCUGUCUAGCCAUAAAAUCUCCAUUCUCCUAUUGAUCAUUUGUAACUUUUAGGACAACCACAGGUGGUAUAAUGGGGCUGCCAAAGUAGCGAACCCUGGGAUCCAGAGUCCACAGAAUCCCACAGUCCCCAGGAAUUCUCUUACCUGCCACCAGAAGGUCAUCUACAUAUUGCAAAAGAGUACCUGGGGGAUUGUUGGCCCAGAAAGAGGCAAGAUCACGAUGUAGAGCUUCAUCAAACAAGGUGUGUUGGGGUAUCCAGGACGAGCUGAGGUGGGAGUGCUAGAUUCUAAUGGAGGUGAGAGGUCUUGGUUUCUAAAGAUGGAGAGAAAGAACAUGUUCUAAUUCUACACCUAAGAGGACAUGAUAAACAAUUGAACCAGCAUCAGAUGAUGUUCUGCCAGCAUUAUUUUUUGUAAUUCUAAAAUCUGCAUUCUGCUAUUGAUCAUUUGUAACUUUUUGGACAUCCACAGCUAAGUAACCAUACCAUUAUGAUACUCCUGUGAGCUGCCUACGUUCUACAACCACAGCUCUCUGAUAACUGUAGUCUCCCCUCCCCCAGCCUGAAACCUGCUUGCUCAGGGGUGGAGCUUCCUGUUCAUUCGUUCUGCCACGCCC